rnacentral:rRNA from 1 species
AAUAUCAGAAGGAACCGCGCAAGCGACUCUCUGGUCCAAACUGACGCGAGUGUCGAAAGCUAGGGUAGCAAACGGAUUAGAUACCCCGGUAGUCCUACCCGUAAACGAUGGCACUAAGUAGAGGGUUUGAUUAUUUCUCUGCCGGAGCUAACGCAUUAAGUGCCCCGCCUGGGGAGUACGGCCGCAAGGCUAAAACUCAAAAGAAUUGACGGGGGCUCGCACAAGCGGUGGAGCAUGUGGCUUAAUUCGAUGCAACGCGAAGAACCUUACCGGGGCUUGACAUGGUAGAAGUAGAAUCCUGAAAGGGUGAACGAUCGGUAUCCAGUCCGAAGCUAUCACAGGUGUUGCAUGGCUGUCGUCAGCUCGUGCGUGAGACGUUGGGUUAAGUCCCCUAACGAGCGAAACCCUUGUCUUUAGUUGCUAACGGGUAAUGCUGAGCACUUUAGAGAGACUGCCGUCGUUAAGACGAGANWNAGACGACGUCAAGUACAUUCAUGCCAUUAUGUCCCGGACUGCACACGUGCUACAAUGGUCGGUACAAAGGGAUGCUAAGUCGACGAGAUGGUGACGAAACCUAAUAAAGCCGAUCUCAGUUCAGAUUGGAGGCUAGAAACUCGCCAUCACAUGAAGUUGGAAUCGCUAGUAAUCGCGGAUCACGUACGCACGCGGUGAAUAUGUUCACCGAGCUCUUAGUAUCACACUCGCCCGUCAAUGCUCACCACAAGCAAGAUGCACCACAAAAUCGCCUGCCUAACCCGUAAGGGAGGGAAGUGACCUAAGGUGUGUUUUAGUGAGAAGGACUAAGUCGUAACAAGGUAACC